rnacentral:lncRNA from 12 species
CAAGCUGUGGGUUUGGGGGUGGCCACGCCCUGGGCAGGAGCUGUGACACCUCAGGUGUGUGGUGCUGGGAUGGGCACUGACUGGGAUGGGGCUGCCUUCUGCUUCCAGGGUGGUGGCACGGGAUGAGGAGGAUGAGGAAGAAAAGAUCUUCCCUGCAGACUCACCUGUGCUGCUGAGAGAGCUGAAUAACAAGAGCCACUACUCGGGGUGGGUGCAGGCCAGCAACGCCCUGGGCACUGCCCGCUCUGCCCCACGGCUCCUCAGCCUGCAGGAGCUCGUUGUCCCCGCUCUGCCCGUGGCCAUCGGCGCCCACACCUCGGAGUCGUCCCCUCCGGUCACCACCACGCGCUGGAGGAGCCGGACCCGGCUGCAGAACGUGCGGUGCCAGGAGAGGCACAGAGCCACGGGCACCCCGACGUGGCAGGUGGAGCCGUGCGACACGGCGGCGCAGGAGGGUCCCCGCCGGCAGCGCGAGCUGCAGCGCGCCAAGCCGUGCGACACGGCGGCGCAGGAGGGUCCCCGCUGGCAGCGCGAGCUGCAGAGCGACACCGAGUUCGAGUUCCAGGCGCGGUGCCGGCUCGGCAGCGCCCAGAGCCCCUGGAGCGCCUGGAGCCCCCCGUUCUUCUACCGCACCCCCGAGGCAGGUGCGCUCAGCCGCGGCCGCAGGUGGCACUUGGGGACACGGGGCAGUGCUGGGCGAUGGCCGGGCUCGAUGUUCUCAGAGGGUUUUUUCCAGCCGUGCAGAUCCCACCAUCUUUAGCGGCUUUCUUGCUCCCCCGGGGUGGAAAAAAUCGCAUCAGCCGGGGUGUCGCGACAAAUCUCUGUCACCCUGAGCCAGCUCCCCCAAUUUGUGCAGCUGUCACCUGGGGAUGAGCCGGCUCAGCCAUCCCGGGAUGAGCGGGCAGCGCUGCCCUCCCAUCCCGGUGGCACCGGGGAACCGGGGGUGCUCCCCCC